GGAGUAGCAAGGAUAACACCGAUUCAGUUAUUCAGAAAACUACCUGCGAGCCAACAAUGUUCAGGUUACUGUGUGCCAGGUGUGAGCUUGUCAGGAUAACUAUGAUACAGUGGCUGCCUUCAAUUUGCUUUUAUUCUAUCACAGGAAAACCAAAAUUAACACUUACUGAGACAAAGAGGAUAGAAUUACAAGUGUUCUAGUAAUCGCCCGUACGGAAUACAGGGAGUGCCUAAGCUAUCUUUGCUAUGUGGAUGAAUGGUGGGCAGGGAGGUGUUCCAGACAGGAUGUGAAAUGCGGAAGAACAAAUAGAGGGGAUUCACAGAACAGAAAUGGAACCUGCAAACAAUGCAGCAUGAUAAAGUAGGAAAGGCUUAGAGAGACGACUCGUAUUGAGUGUAGAAAUAAAUAUCACAAGUUCCAAAUAUUUAUUCUGCCCUGAUUAAAUUUAAAGCUGGAGUCAAUGAGCACAGGUUGAUAAUAGCAAUAAUUGUAGCCAUUGGGAAAUAUUGAACUUUAGCAACACAAUCCAGAGUUAGCCUUUACAUCUUAUGGUUUAGAUAAAGGCAAAGCUGAAAAAAUAUUUAACAGUUAUCUUGAAGAUAAUAAUAUGAACAGUAGGCAAAUUGUGGGUAAUGGCAUUUUCUUAUAGGAUUUAUUAUUGUUUUGUGUCCUGUUGUCAUGAGCUUGAAUAAUUUUAUUUUUCCCCAAGGUAAGCCCUCCAUUGAGAUUAUACUUUGUGAAGAUUGUGUUGCUCUUGAGACUGAUGCUGGUUUGUUCCUGGAUAUUGUUCUUGCUUACCACAGAAAUUUGCAUUUUAUUAUAUUUAACCUACUAUCACCAUCAAAUUUCUUAGAACACCUAAGCAUAAAUAGUUUUUGUCUUACCACACCCUAGCUUUUUUGGUUGGUUAAUGCCAAAGUGGAAAUGCCUUAUUUUCUAUUCAAACAACUUGAAUGUGCCUUCACCCCCUAAAUUAAAAAUAGCCUCUUCUGUAAAGUCAGUGCUUCCUUUGCAAACUACCCCAGUGGUGGGCUGGUUCACUUUCAUACUCCAUGUGCCUCAAUGUUGAGAAGUAUUCUUUUCCUUACUACCCAUUGCUUCUACUUCCAUCCAUCUCAAGUUUCCCAUAUAUUCUUUAAAAAGAGUAACUAUUAUUUUUUAACUUUUUAAAGAUUUUAUUCAUUCAUGAGAGACACAGAGAGAGAGGUACAGACAUAGGCAGGGGGAGAAGCAGGCUCCUUGCAGGGAGCUUAAUGUGCACUCAAUCUCUGGACCCCAGGAUCACAACCUGAGCCAAAGGCAUACUCAACCACUGAGCCACCCAGGUACCGCAUAAGGGUAACUAUCCUUUCACUCUAGUAGGGCAAUUUACUAAAAUGUUUUUUCCCUAUAGUUUUCUCUCUGUCUCAAUUCCAAGCAGGUAGUCAAAUUUUGGUCUUCCUUGCUACAGAGGAGCAUGAUGACCUAUGGAAGCAGAAUCACUUAAUGUCAACUUUCUUUCUUGCUAUUCUUCUCUGAUGUCCUUUGCUCUCAUCGUGGACCAACUAAGCUAUAGGGAGGGAGGUAGAAGCAGAAUCAGGAAGAGAGAAGACUCCUGUGAACAACAAAGAAGACAGAUGUUGCUCAAAGCCUCUGAUCCAAGGUAUCCUGACAGUUUCUAGGGUAAGGAGGUAAGGACUCAGAGGUGAGUGAUGGGAGGUACAGUUAUAUUUUGCAGCUAAGACUAGCAGGAUUGGUUAAAGGAUUAGAUGUCCAGUGAAAAAGGAAAGAGGAAUUAAGGAUAACACCAGGCAUUUUAGCCUGAUCAACAGGAAGAGGGAGAUUGUCCCUCUUUCCUAACAUUAUUUCCCUUGGGGAAGACUUCUGUAACAGAAAGAUCAGGAGUUUGUUUUUCUACACAGUAAGUUUGAUAUGCCCUUUAGACAUCAAAGUGGAGGUGUUGUAUAAAUAGUUAAAAAUACAAAUCUGGAGCUCUGAAGAGGGUCUAGACUAGAGAUACAUAUUUGGGAGUCCUCAAUAAGAGAACACAUGUCAAUGAACCCAAAUGAAGAAAGCAAGCUGGAGACUUACACUCAACAUUAGGGUUUACGAUAUGGAGGUCACUGGUAACCUUGAGCAAAGCUCUUUCAAUAGAGUGGUUGUAAUGAAAAGCCUAGACUGAGGGGUAAAACAGAGACUGGAAGGAGAGAGAUUGAAGAUAACUAAUACAGAUGAAUGUGGACAACUCUUUUGAGAAGUUUUACAGAAAAGUUCAGGCAGAGACAUGUUUGCUCAAGAGAGAUUGUAUUUUAAAAUAUGGGGGAAACUGUAUCAGGUUUUAUGCUGAUGGGAUAUGAUGCAGGAGAAAGAAGAAAGAAUUUCUAAAGCCCUGGAUGAGGUGAGAGGUAACGGCCUCCCUCCUGAGAAGUGGUAUAGCUAAGUGGUAAGAGCGUGGAUUUUGGAGACAGACUGCCUGAGCUCGAAUAGGACUCCUGCCUUUAUAUAACUGUGCAACUUUAGGAAAACGCCUUGUCUAUGUACCUUAGUUAUCAAUCUAUAAAGCGCCUCUCCAUCUGUAAAGUGGGAAUAUAUAGAAUUUCUAUGAGAAUUAAGUUAAAAAACAUAAAGUUCUUAGAAUAGUGCAAACCACAUAGGAAAUACUCAGUACAUUUGAGCCCUUGCUAGGGCACAAAUGGAGAGGAAUCUAGAAGUAUGUAAAGCGGUGCUGGAAUGAGAUUCGUUGUAUGAAGUUACCUUUCACAGCACCCACCACUCUACUCUGCAGGCCCAAACCUGUCUACGUAUGGAAUAUCGGGGUUUAGGAAUCCUGUGUGCUCUGCUUUCCGUCUGAUUCCUAUAUUCCCAGUAAGUCUCAUUACAGCCAACACCCUUUGUCACUAGUAUUGUGAUUCCGCCCCAGGGAGGUUCCUUUUUGUUCACUUCAGAAUGACCAUGAGUGGAGGUCAGGGGCUCCGUUCCCUUGGAGUGUACAGCUGUUGCUGCCCACGUACUGCCCAUGCAAUUUGGGGCACCCAAAAGCUUGAAUAGCCCAAGGUCUUCUAAGUCCAGGAUCUUAAGUUCCUUGACUAUUCAAUUCCCUCAAAAAUUUAGUGGGUUCCUGAUCUCUUUGUUUCCAGUACAUACUAUGGGACAGUUGCCACUGCCAAAUAAUUUACUAAAUUAAAUUCUCAAGCCUGAUCUGUUUCUUUGCCUCCUACUCACCAUCUCAUUCUUUGCCUCAUUUCUGCAGGUUCUCACUCAUGGAGGCUUACUUCCUUGUGUGUGCCUGGUUGCCUUUGACUGUGCUACCUGUUGCUCUUUGCAGACUUGCUUGCUGGGAUUACCUAAAGCAUAGGGUGAAGGUACUCUCUCCAGGGAUACUUUAGUUUGCCAUCCACCAUAUUUAUUUGGCAGUAUCAUUUGGGCACUACCUUAACCCAUGUUUAAAGUGUGGGCUUCCCUGACCCACUCAGGCCUUGUGAACUUGGACUGACAAUCCCUCACCAUGACUGGGCAAUCACCACAAAUUCUCAGGGUUAUGUUUUUAUCUUUGUAUUCAUUUUUAUUUUCCUCUGUUCCAUUCAACGGAAUGGCAACCUUUCCUGCAAUCUUCCAGGUCUGGGUUCAGAAAAGGGAGCCUUACUUUUGGUUCACUCUGAGCCUGAGGCUAGAGUCCUUUAUAAGUCCAGGGCAAUGCUGGGACCCCAUAGCUGAUAAAACUCUCCACCUUGGAUGGGCGCUGGACCAUGACUUCUGUCCUCUUGCCCCUUGAAAUUAAAAGGAUAAACGUGAGCUUCCUGAUAUCAACCCUCAGGCAGAUUUAAUUUUCUUGCUAAUAUUCUCCCUUUCUUUCCUAGGUUCAGUUUUGCAAUCAGUUAUCUCUGACAAUCCCCAUGCUAUUUUGUUAGCUUAUCAAUGGGUUUAAGAUAAUUUCUAAUGUUUUAAAUCCCAUUACCUUGGUUGCUUCUUAGUAAUAAGUCCAAAUCUUAGGCUGCCACUGUUGAAGUAUAGAAUUCCUAAGCACAAUGUAGGCUCUCAUCACAUAACUAUGAAAAAUGAAACCGUUGAAAGAAAAGAAAGAUACAAUGAUACAAUACAUGUAAUACAUGUAAAUGUAAAAUAUUGAGUCAAAGAAAAACAUAUACUGUUGACCUUGAACAACAUGGGUUUGAAGUGUAUAAGCCCACUUACAUGUGACAUUUUUUUACAGUACAGUACUAAAAAUGUAUUAUCUCUUCCUUAUGCUUUUCUUAACAUUUUCUUUUCUUUAGCUUAUUUUAUUAUAAAAAUACAGUAAAUAAUGCAUAUAACAUGCAAAAUAUGUAUUAAUUGACUAUGUUAUUGGUAGGGCUUCUGGUCACCACUAGGCUAAUAGUAGUCAUGUUUUGGGGGAGUCAAAAGUUAUAUGCGGAUUUUCUACUAUGUAGGGAUUCAACCCCUUACCCCUGCAUUGUUCACAGUCAACUGUAAUUUCAAAUGUUAUAAACUGUGAAUAGUUAAAACCAUUUCAAACUGUACAAGAGAAAUUUCCCGUUGACAGUUACCAUCAAGAUUUUGAAAGGAUCGUUAAAGGCUCAUAAUCAGGAAUUAUGUAGAGCAUUUCAAGAACAAAACUCCAUAUAAAAAGUUGCAGAAAAGCUACAUGGAUGAGAAAGCUGAAGGUUGGCAAAUUGAACACCAAUAAAAAAUAAAUUUAUUAUUUAAAAAAAUUGAAAAUAUUUUAUUUGGAAAUUUCAUAUGCAUUCAAUAUACAAAGCCUUUCCUAAUUCUUGUAUUUUAUUCUUAUCAUAACUAGUGAUAGUUUUAAUGUGAUGAAUUUUUUUAUCACAGUUUUCUUUUUGUGCCCAGAUAUGAAAACAAUUGGAAGUAUUAGGAAAGGGAGAAAUCAAGACCCAAAGGAAACGUGCUAAUUAAUAAAUACAGAAUUAGCUCAUUUUAUUAUUGAGUAAAGCAAAUAUAAUACAGGCCAGAAUACAUGCAGGUGCCCAACAAGUGGCCACAGAGCUGGAGAGGACUUUCUGCUCUGUUUACAUGAAAGUAAAGCUACUGUUGCUCUACACCAUCCUAGUUUUUAGCUGUCUGCAGGAAUUUAUUUUGCAUCAGUCAUGACAUGGAGUGUACUCUGAGACUCCAGUCUUUCCUAAUUCUUUAUCAAGCUUGUUCUGAUGUUCUGAUCUUCAUAAUAGUUUUUAAAAAGGCGUUUAAAUUUAUUUAUUCAUGAGAGACACAGAGAGAGAGGCAGAGGGAGAAGCAGGCUCCCUGCAGGGAGCCCGAUGCAGAACUCGAUCCCAGGACCCCAGGAUCAUGACCUGAGCCAAAGGCAAAUGCUCAACCACUGAGCCACCCAGGCACCCGUGAUCUUCAUAAUUCUUUAUCAAAAUCUCCUAAGUUUGCCUCUGACAGUCUAACCAGUUCUUCUUAUGAGUCAUACCCUACAGCAUUCUUUAGUGAGCUUAGGUUAAGCUCAGUUUCCGUACGGAAGCACUGUUCUAGGUAGCCGCACUGAGCCCAGCAGCACAGGAGAAUAGCAGAACAGGCCUAACUCUGACUUCGAGGAACAAACUUCUCUAGAACAUGCUGUUAUUUCCAUCCACGGUUUUAGUGACUGCUGUGAACGCUGUCUGUUGUAUAGUCUGUUGUAUAAGCUGACGGAGGUGUCAGCAGCUGUCUGCUUCUGCUUUUAGGGUGUUUGGAAGAUAGAAUGCCUAUGGGAGCCCAAAUAGGAAUGAUGCAGUGUAGGGGGAGCUGGAGCCUCAACUGUGCACAGCGGCAGCAUCAAGCACGGAGCAUUAUUCCUGGAGAAAACUAGAAAGAUUCCCACACUGGAGCUGGCAGGCACAGAGAUAGGGACUGGGAAAGGAAACAGAAAUCAGGCUGACCAAUGGAAGGAGCCUCUAUGGAUUGUGAUGCUGGUCAUCCCCCUUCUCUGCCCCACCAAGUAUCGGAGCCAUGGGCAGAUGCUGCAUUUGCCUUCCUAUACAAGCAGGGCUGCACUGAGUGUGUACAGGGCCGCAAGCAAUUUGUUUUUUGAGAAUCCCCUGUCUAUAAAUGCAAUGAGGCUUAAAAUUAAUUUUUAAAUUCAUGGUCCCAUAUGAAGUACAGUCAUUUAUUGAUGAAAAUUUAGAAUAAUAAGUAGAGGGAAGGGGCUUAUGUAUCUGUUUAUUGUCUGAUCAAUUCAUAGUGUUCAGGUGCCAUCUCUAUUGGUUUGGAUCCUAGAUCCCCCACAUUUUCUUAGUACUAAAAAUGCCCAAUGUGCUAAUCAGGGUAGUUUUAUGUCUUCUAGUGGCAGGAAAAGAUGGCAACAUUGUGACUACGCACAAUGCUAUAGUUCUUUAGAACCUAUUUAUAUUUGUCUAGGUCUUCUUAUUCCUGUGGUUCCCUAAUACCAUUUACUACUUUUAAUCACAUCAUUAUUCAUUAUGUUGAUCAUUCAUUGCACCAGCUGUGAACCCUGGAGCUUCCAAUGACAUUCAAAGGUUGUUACUGUGCUUCAUUGAUGAUAACACAAAUGCAAGUGUUAUCCAUUUUCCAGGCAGUGAAAACAUAAAUAAUACUUCAUUUUCUAUAUGUGUUGUAUUUACCCCUUGGAGUUUAUGGUAUGCAGUGUGUCUUAACCUAUGAUAUGACUCUUUAGGUCAUAAUCAUUGCAUUCUUGGAAUGGGACCUCUUUCAAUGUGGACUACACCUCCGCCUUCCAUCAUCUCCAUCAGCUGGGAGAACAGGCAAGGGGCCUGUAGAUGGAGUGAAAAAGCAGCCUAUUAAUACAAAGAUUACUCAUUUCUUCCCAGCAUAGCCUAAUACUGAUCAAGGACAGCAUGGCAUCUCCUCAUGAGUUGGAGACAAGGGAAGGCAUUGAAAGGAAGGGUCAUUGGCUUUGUGGAGCAACAAUCUGGAAAUUUCUAGAGAGAGAUAGAAAUGUCAUCACUGGAGAUUUGCCUUCACAUGGACCAGCAGAGGGACUGGGCGACUGUUCUGGGUGCCCCCAAGGGGGCACAGAAGAUAAGAGCUACCACUCUCACCAUCCUCAGGUGCCAUAUUCCAAAGGUGCCAAAGGUGGCACCACAAUUGGAACAAAUAGAUGAAAGCUGUCACAGGGACCUAUGCACAUAUUCAUCAGUCCCAGGGCAGGUGUCGAUUGCUAGUCUAGAGCCCUAAACUAGAAGGAUAUAAAUAAUCUCUAGUAGAUCUAAUCCAAAAAUAACACACAAGCACAGUUUCUUCGAUGCAGUAUUAUAGAAACAAACACAUAAAAUAUAUUAGUUACCUACAAACCACUAAAAACAAUUGGGUCUUUGCUGAUUCAGGAGGAGCUGCAGAUGUAAUGGAGUCUCAAUGGUCAUUUCAUUGUGGGAAUGUUGAGUUAUCAUUUGCAAGGUGGCUGCUAGGGACUGACUUGUGUCCACUCCAAAUUUCAUAUGUUGAAGCCCUAACUCCCCACUGUGAUGCGUGUUUGGAGACUGGGCUUUGGGAGGCAAUUAGGGUUAAGAGGUCACAGGAGAGGGCCCUCAGAAUGGGAUUGGUGCCCUUAUAAGAAGAGACACCAGAAAGCUGGCCCCCUCUCUAGUCUCCCCCACUGACCACCACCAUAUGAAUACAUAGUGAGACAGUGGCCAAGUGCAAGCCAGGAAGAGAGCCCUCACCAAAACCAACCAUGCUGGCACUCUGAUUUUAGGAUUCCAGCUUCCAGAAUGGUGAGAAAAUUAAUUUCUGUUGUGCAAACCACCCAGUCUAUGGUAUUUUGUUAUGGUAGCUCCAGCUAAUAACAAUAGCUAAAUGUAGCGUUCACUAUUUAUUUUGUGUUUGUUUACAGAACACUUGGUAAUUUUACUCCCAUUAUAUUUUAAAGGGACAUUUUAUAUAUUAAUUUUUAAACUGAAAAGUAUAUUGAGAUCUUUAGCAAUGUGAUUUUGUGCAAUUUUUUUUAACCUUUUUGUUUCCUCAUCUAUAAAUCUGACAGUAGAACCCUGUAGGAUUUUUGUAAGAAUGAAAUCUGUCAAUAUUUGUAGGGUUCUUAGAGUAGUGCCUGGCACAAUAUGCUGUGUAUUUAUUACAUUAAAUAUAAGUAAAAAUAAAA
rnacentral:lncRNA from 1 species